GAAAUGCGAUAAUUAAUGUGAAUUGCAGAAUUCAGUGAUUCAUCGAGUCUUUGAACGCACAUUGCGCCCCCUGGUAUUCCGGGGGGCAUGCCUGUCCGAGCGUCAUUGCUGCCCUCAAGCACGGCUUGUGUGUUGGGCUUCCGUCCCUGGCAACGGGGACGGGCCCAAAAGGCAGUGGCGGCACCAUGUCUGGUCCUCGAGCGUAUGGGGCUUUGUCACCCGCUCCCGUAGGUCCAGCUGGCAGCUAGCCUCGCAACCAAUCUUUUUAACCAGGUUGACAUCGGAUCAGGUAGGGAUACCCGCUGAACUUAAGC
rnacentral:misc_RNA from 1 species